GACGAACGCUGGCGGCGUGCCUAAUACAUGCAAGUAGAACGCUGAAGCUUGGUGCUUGCACCGAGCGGAUGAGUUGCGAACGGGUGAGUAACGCGUAGGUAACCUGCCUGGUAGCGGGGGAUAACUAUUGGAAACGAUAGCUAAUACCGCAUAAUAGUAGAUGUUGCAUGACAUUUGCUUAAAAGGUGCAAUUGCAUCACUACCAGAUGGACCUGCGUUGUAUUAGCUAGUUGGUGAGGUAACGGCUCACCAAGGCAACGAUACAUAGCCGACCUGAGAGGGUGAUCGGCCACACUGGGACUGAGACACGGCCCAGACUCCUACGGGAGGCAGCAGUAGGGAAUCUUCGGCAAUGGACGGAAGUCUGACCGAGCAACGCCGCGUGAGUGAAGAAGGGUUUCGGAUCGUAAAGCUCUGUUGUAAGAGAAGAACGAGUGUGAGAGUGGAAAGUUCACACUGUGACGGUAUCUUACCAGAAAGGGACGGCUAACUACGUG
rnacentral:rRNA from 1 species